CCUACGGGAGGCAGCAGUGAGGAAUAUUGGUCAAUGGGCGCGAGCCUGAACCAGCCAAGUAGCGUGCAGGAUGACUGCCCUACGGGUUGUAAACUUCUUUUAUGCAGGGAUAAAGUGCGGCACGUGUGCCUUUUUGUAUGUACCGUAUGAAUAAGGAUCGGCUAACUCCGUGCCAGCAGCCGCGGUAAUACGGAGGAUCCGAGCGUUAUCCGGAUUUAUUGGGUUUAAAGGGAGCGUAGACGGGUUGUUAAGUCAGCUGUGAAAGUCUGCGGCUCAACCGUAAAAUUGCAGUUGAUACUGGCAGGCUUGAGUACGGGUGAGGUAGGCGGAAUUCGUGGUGUAGCGGUGAAAUGCUUAGAUAUCACGAAGAACUCCGAUUGCGAAGGCAGCUUACGAAACUGCCACUGACGUUGAGGCUCGAAAGUGUGGGUAUCAAACAGGAUUAGAUACCCGUGUAGUC
rnacentral:rRNA from 1 species